rnacentral:tRNA from 1 species
UUUAGGGAGACCUACCCUUGAUAACUCCGAACCAAUUUGAAUUAGGAGUAUCGAGCGGUCACUCUAGGUCGUUCAGGACUUUGAGUAGAGUUUCUAGACUAUGGUUGAGGUUUAUUUCUUGACUUUAGGUAACUGCUAGCAAUAGUUAUUUAGGGAACAAGGAACUAAACACGGGCUAUUAGCUCAGGUGGUUAGAGCGCACCCCUGAUAAGGGUGAGGUCCCUGGUUCGAGUCCAGGAUGGCCCACUGCGUGGGGGUUUAGCUCAGCUGGUAGAGCGCCUGCUUUGCAAGCAGGAUGUCAGCGGUUCGAGUCCGCUAACCUCCACCACGAAAGCAUAGAUUGAAUUCAGCACAGUGUGUUUUGGUUUGAGCCAAGGCAUAGUCUGCUGGGUGAGAGCCUAGCUGAGAACCUUGAAAACUGAAUAUGAGAGAAGUGUAAGGUAGUACACACAGAACAUUCAAAGUUCGUUGAGAGAAGAGUGAACUUGAUUAGUUACGACUAAUUGAGUGAA